rnacentral:rRNA from 1 species
UCUAAGUAUAAACAACUUUAUAUGUAAAACUGCGAACGGCUCAUUACAUCAGCAAUAAUUUAUUUGAUGAUUUCUUACUACAUGGAUAACUGUAGUAAUUCUAGAGCUAAUACAUGCGCAAAGUCCUGACUCGCGAGGGGAGGGAUGUAUUUAUUAGAUACAAAACCAAUGCGGGUUCUGCUCGCCAUUGUGUUGAAUCAUAGUAACUUAUCGAACGCCAUAGCCUUGUGCUGGGCGUAGAUCAUUCAAAU